GGGAAAGUAGUUAAAAAUAACAUUUGGUUUGCAACCAAAAAGUACUAAUUAUAGUCUCUCUCA
rnacentral:tRNA from 2 species